UCAAACUUGGUCAUUUAGAGGAAGUAAAAGUCGUAACAAGGUUUCCGUAGGUGAACCUGCGGAAGGAUCAUUACCGAGUUCAGGGUCGUCUCUUGUAACCCAAGAGUACGCCCGACCUCCAACCCUUUGUCUACCUGACCUUUUUGUUGCUUCGGCAGGCCCGUCUUCGGACCGUCACCCACCCCGGGCCCGCGCCUGUCGAUGGCCAUUCUAAAAACUCUUGUUAAGAAACGUGUCGUCUAAGUAUACAAACAAAAAUUAAAACCAAAACUUUCAACAACGGAUCUCUUGGUUCUGGCAUCGAUGAAGAACGCAGC
rnacentral:misc_RNA from 1 species